rnacentral:rRNA from 1 species
CGCGGUAAUACGUAGGUGGCAAGCGUUGUCCGGAAUUAUUGGGCGUAAAGCGCGCGCAGGCGGUCCUUUAAGUCUGAUGUGAAAUCCCACGGCUCAACCGUGGAAGGUCAUUGGAAACUGGGGGACUUGAGUACAGAAGAGGAAAGCGGAAUUCCAAGUGUAGCGGUGAAAUGCGUAGAGAUUUGGAGGAACACCAGUGGCGAAGGCGGCUUUCUGGUCUGUAACUGACGCUGAGGCGCGAAAGCGUGGGGAGCAAACAGGAUUGGAUACCCUGGUAGUCCACGCCGUAAACGAUGAGUGCUAAGUGUUAGGGGGUUUCCGCCCCUUAGUGCUGCAGCUAACGCAUUAAGCACUCCGCCUGGGGAGUACGGUCGCAAGACUGAAACUCAAAGGAAUUGAUGGGGGCCCGCACAAGCGGUGGAGCAUGUGGUUUGAUUCGAAGCAACGCGAAGAACCUUACCAGGUCUUGACAUCCCGCUGACCGUUCUAGAGAUAGAUCUUUCCCUUCGGGGACAGCGGUGACAGGUGGUGCAUGGUUGUCGUCAGCUCGUGUCGUGAGAUGUUGGGUUAAGUCCCGCAACGAGCGCAACCCUUGUUCUUAGUUGCCAGCAUUCAGUUGGGCACUCUAAGGAGACUGCCGGUGACAAACCGGAGGAAGGUGGGGAUGACGUCAAAUCAUCAUGCCCCUUAUGACCUGGGCUACACACGUGCUACAAUGGAUGGUACAAAGGGCUGCAAAACCGCGAGGUUAAGCCAAUCCCAUAAAACCAUUCUCAGUUCGGAUUGUAGGCUGCAACUCGCCUACAUGAAGCCGGAAUCGCUAGUAAUCGCGGAUCAGCAUGCCGCGGUGAAUACGUUCCCGGGCCUUGUACACACCGCCCGUCACACCACGAGAGUUUGUAACACCCGAAGC